rnacentral:rRNA from 1 species
UGUUAAUAGCAUACUCUAUUUGUACGUUAGCUGCAGAAGAAGCACCGGACUAACUCCGUCGCCAGCAGCCGACGGUAAGUACGGAGGGUGCGAGACGUUAAGUACGGUAAUUACGUGGGACGUAAAGCGCAUGCAGGUUGGUUUGUUAAGUUAGUAUGUAGAAACGGCCCGGGGCGUACAACCUACGGUAAUUGCUAUUUAGUAAACGUGGACAAACUAGAGUACUGUAGAGGGGGUAGGAAUUUCAGGUGUAGCGGUGAAAUGCGUAGAGAUCUGAAGGAAUACCGGUGGCGAAGGCGGCCCCCUGGACAGAUACUGACACUCAGAUGCGAAAGCGUGGGGAGCAAACAGGAUUAGAUACCCUGGUAG